rnacentral:rRNA from 1 species
GAUGAACGCUGGCGGCGUGCUUAACACAUGCAAGUCGAACGGAAAGGCUCCUGCUUGCAGGGGUACUCGAGUGGCGAACGGGUGAGUAACACGUGGGUGAUCUGCCCUGCACUUCGGGAUAAGCCUGGGAAACUGGGUCUAAUACCGGAUAGGACGAUGGUUUGGAUGCCAUUGUGGAAAGGUUUUUCGGUGUGGGAUGAGCUCGCGGCCUAUCAGCUUGUUGGUGGGGUAAUGGCCUACCAAGGCGUCGACGGGUAGCCGGCCUGUGAGGGUGUACGGCCACAUUGGGACUGAGAUACGGCCCAGACUCCUACGGGAGGCAGCAGUGGGGAAUAUUGCACAAUGGGCGCAAGCCUGAUGCAGCGACGCCGCGUGGGGGAUGACGGCCUUCGGGUUGUAAACUCCUUUCGCUAGGGACGAAGCGCAAGUGACGGUACCUGGAGAAGAAGCACCGGCUAACUACGUG